GUUUGAAUUUGCUGCGGGCUGAUGAAAUGGAUAUGGGCAUCAAUUCCUCCAGCUGUGAGAAUCAUUCCCUCCCCGGCAAUGAUUUCAGUCGACGCGCCAAUGGUAAUGGUGAUAUUAUCCAUCAAUAGCGGGUUGCCUGCUUUGCCGAUGCUGGCUAUGGUGCCGUCUUUAAUGCCAAUAUCCGCUUUGUAAAUGCCGGUAUAAUCAAGAAUGAGAGCAUUCGUGAUCACCAGGUCAACCGUCUCGCUUCUUGUGGCAAGCGGAUGUUGGCCCAUUCCAUCACG
rnacentral:sRNA from 1 species